AGAGUUUGAUUCUGGCUCAGGAUGAACGCUGGCGGCGUGCUUAACACAUGCAAGUCGAACGAGGUCCAACCUUCGGGUGAAGACCGAGUGGCGAACGGGUGAGUAACACGUGGGGAACGUGCCCUUUCUCUCUGGGAUAACCUCGGGAAACCGAAGCUAAUACCGGAUACUCCUUGCGGACCGCAUGGUCUGCUCGGGAAAGCUCCGGCGGAGAAGGAUGGCCCCGCGGCCCAUUAGCUUGUUGGUGGGGUAACGGCCCACCAAGGCGACGAUGGGUAGCCGAGCUGAGAGGCUGAUCGGCCACACUGGGACUGAGACACGGCCCAGACUCCUACGGGAGGCAGCAGUGGGGAAUCUUGCGCAAUGGGCGAAAGCCUGACGCAGCAACGCCGCGUGCGGGAUGAAGGCUCUCGGGUCGUAAACCGCUUUCAGCAGGGAUGAAAAUGACAGUACCUGCAGAAGAAGCCCCGGCUAAAUACGUGCCAGCAGCCGCGGUAAUACGUAUGGGGCAAGCGUUAUCCGGAUUCAUUGGGCGUAAAGCGCGCGUAGGCGGCUUGUUAAGUCAGGCGUGAAAUCCGGGGGCUCAACCCGCGGCUUGCGUCUGAAACUGGCAGGCUUGAGUCUGGUAGAGGAAAGUGGAAUUCCUGGUGUAGCGGUGAAAUGCGCAGAUAUCAGGAGGAACACCAGUGGCGAAGGCGGCUUUCUGGGCCACGACUGACGCUGAGGCGCGAAAGCUAGGGGAGCGAACAGGAUUAGAUACCCUGGUAGUC
rnacentral:rRNA from 1 species